rnacentral:rRNA from 1 species
UACGUAGGGCGCGGGCGUUGUCCGGAAUUAUUGGGCGUAAAGAGCUCGUAGGCGGCUUGUCACGUCGGGUGUGAAAGACCGGGGCUUAACUCCGGUUCUGCAUUCGAUACGGGCUAGCUAGAGUGUGGUAGGGGAGAUCGGAAUUCCUGGUGUAGCGGUGAAAUGCGCAGAUAUCAGGAGGAACACCGGUGGCGAAGGCGGAUCUCUGGGCCUUACCUGACGCUGAGGAGCGAAAGCGUGGGGAGCAAACAGG